GACGAACGCUGGCGGCGUGCUUAACACAUGCAAGUCGAACGAAGUGGCGAACGGGUGAGUAACGCGUAAUCAACCUGCCCUUCAGAGGGGGACACCAGUUGGAAACGACUGCUAAUACCGCAAACUGAAGGAGGGGAUUGCGUCGGAUCUGCUCGCUGGAGGGGGAACGGCCCACCAAGGCGAUGAUCAGUAGCCGGGCUGGGAGGAGGAACGGCCACAUUGGGACUAGGACACUGCCCAGACUCCUACGGGAGGCAGCAGUGGGGAAUCUGCCGCAAUUGACGAAAGUCUUACGGAGCAACGCCGCGUGAGUGAUGACGGCCUUCGGGUUGUAAAGCUCUGUUAAGCGGGACGCGGUACCGGAAUAGAAAGCCACGGCUAACUACGUGCCAGCAGCCGCGGUAAUAC
rnacentral:rRNA from 1 species